rnacentral:rRNA from 1 species
AUUGAACGCUGGCGGCAGGCCUAACACAUGCAAGUCGAGCGGAGCGGCGGACGGGUGAGUAAUGCCUAGGAAUCUGCCUGGUAGUGGGGGAUAACGUCCGGAAACGGGCGCUAAUACCGCAUACUAUCAGAUGAGCCUAGGUCGGAUUAGCUAGUUGGUGGGGUAAAGGCCUACCAAGGCGACGAUCCGUAACUGGUCUGAGAGGAUGAUCAGCCACACUGGGACUGAGACACGGCCCAGACUCCUACGGGAGGCAGCAGUGGGGAAUAUUCGGCAAUGGGCGAAAGUCUGACCGAGCCACGCCGCGUGAGUGAAGAAGGUCUUCGGAUUGUAAAGCUCUGUUGGUAGGGAAGCGGUACCGAAAGAGAAAGCAACGGCUAACUACGUGCCAGCAGCCGCGGUAAUAC